rnacentral:rRNA from 1 species
AGCGAACGCUGGCGGCAGGCUUAACACAUGCAAGUCGAGCGGGCCCUUCGGGGUCAGCGGCAGACGGGUGAGUAACACGUGGGAACGUACCCUUUGGUUCGGAAUAACGCCGGGAAACUAGCGCUAAUACCGGAUACGCCCUUUUGGGGAAAGGCUUGCUGCCGAAGGAUCGGCCCGCGUCUGAUUAGCUAGUUGGUGGGGUAAUGGCCUACCAAGGCGACGAUCAGUAGCUGGUCUGAGAGGAUGAUCAGCCACACUGGGACUGCGACACGGCCCAGACUCCUACGGGAGGCAGCAGUGGGGAAUAUUGGACAAUGGGCGCAAGCCUGAUCCAGCCAUGCCGCGUGAGUGAUGAAGGCCUUAGGGUUGUAAAGCUCUUUUGUCCGGGACGAUAAUGACGGUACCGGAAGAAUAAGCCCCGGCUAACUUCGUG